AACGGAGGGGGCGAGCGUUAUUCACCUUAACUGGGCGUAAAGGGUAUGUAGGUUGUUUUUUACAUUUAAUUCAAGUAAUCUAAGCACAACUUUUGAAGUUGAUUUAAAUAAGUAAAGACUAGAGGAUAUAUGAAGUAAGUUACAUUUUUAGUUAAGGGGUGAAAUCCUAAGAUACUAGAGAGAUAUCCGUAAGGCGAAAGCUACUUACUAUUUUAUUACUGACGCUGAGGUACAAAAGCAUGGGGUUCAAACAGG
rnacentral:rRNA from 1 species